AACAAACGCUGGCGGCGUGCCUAACACAUGCAAGUCGAACGAGAAAGUCGGUUUCGGCCGAUGAGUAAAGUGGCGCACGGGUGAGUAACGCGUGGAUAAUCUACCCUUUAGUCCGGAAUAACUUGCCGAAAGGUGAACUAAUACCGGAUGACAUCCCGGGUUCUCCGGAAACCGGGAUCAAAGAAGGCCUCUGCUUGCAAGCUUUUGCUGAAGGAUGAGUCCGCGUACCAUUAGCUAGUUGGUGGGGUAAUGGCCUACCAAGGUUAUGAUGGUUAGCUGGUCUGAGAGGAUGAUCAGCCACACUGGAACUGAGACACGGUCCAAACUCCUACGGGAGGCAGCAGUGGGGAAUAUUGCACAAUGGGCGAAAGCCUGAUGCAGCAACGCCGCGUGAGCGAGGAAGGCCUUUGGGUCGUAAAGCUCUGUCGAGGAGGAAGAUAAUGACGGUACUCCUCGAGGAAGCCCCGGCUAACUACGUG
rnacentral:rRNA from 1 species